rnacentral:SRP_RNA from 1 species
CUGUGCUAGAUGGGGAGCUAGCGGUUCCUUGUAACCUGAAAUCCGCUAUAUGCAGGAUUGAAUUCCAAGUAGAAGGGGUUUGAUGAACUUAGUUUUUUUAUACAAGCGGUGUUGAUGUCUUCAGCUUUACGCAAUUAGUAUUUCUUGAAUUCCGCCAGGUCUGGAAGGAAGCAACGGUAGAGAAGUAUUCAUGUGCCGUGAAAUCCUGAAGUUGAGCUGGCUAUAUAAAUAAUUAUUUUAACAUAAACUUCAAUUUUUGGUGCACAG